GUGGGAAUGUCAAUGACCGCUGCCAUCUCAUCCCUGAGCUGGUAGGUGCUCCGACCCGCUUCUCAUCUCCUUUCUGGUGCUCUUCUCUUUUCACUUUCUAAGCAGGAAUAAAUCCUUUUCUAACUUCGAAAACGAAGCGUAUAGAGUUGCGGCGGUACGGACAAACUUCGCCUAUUGCGUGUUCAGAGAAUUUGAAAGGGAACAGUUUAAAGUCCGUAAAAUUCUCAGCUGAGACACUCGGCUCUCCUGGUAGCUGCUCUUGUGAUUUGCAGAAUACUUCGUCUGUCACGACUGUCACUGGGAAUCCACAGGAGGUGAACUCAAUCAGAUUAGACUAUUUACCCCAUCAACCCUCCACCGCAGAAGGUUUUGUUACUGCGUCUGAUACCGACCCAAACCGAAGACCUCCGUGUAGUAAAAGACGAGCAGGAACGUUAAGAAAAAAAGAACCCCAGGACUCGAUUCUCACUUUAAUACAUCGCGAUGUGACUAAUAGUUACCAUCGUUCCUUUUCCUUCAAUUGUGUACCGAUCCAUUUCUUUGCGCCUUUGGUAUUUGGAGCUGACCUUCGUGCGAGUUUUACAAAUUCAGUGUGAAAUGGAAGAAUUGGAUGUGGACUGAGUUUUUUCUUUUUCUCUUUUUCUUUUCUCUGCUUCUUUUCCUUUUCUUCUUCUUGCUUCGUGUAUGUUCUGGGGUGGUUUUUGAUUUGCUGUUUUGGUUGGAUUUUGUGUGUGUGUGUGUUUGUGUGUGUGUGUGUUUGCUUUGAUGUUGGAUUUUGGGGGGUCAGUCGUUCCCUGCCUCCGGCCCUGUCCUGCGUGGUGCUUAAUUCCCCCCUCGCGAUGCUCACUCACGUCCCAGCGGCUCCGCAGCCACGCGCGACCG
rnacentral:lncRNA from 1 species